ACCCUUUACUCGGGGAUAGCCUUUCGAAAGAAAGAUUAAUACCCGAUAGCAUAAUGAUUCCGCAUGGUUUCAUUAUUAAAGGAUUCCGGUAAAGGAUGGGGAUGCGUUCCAUUAGGUUGUUGGUGGGGUAACGGCCCACCAAGCCUUCGAUGGAUAGGGGUUCUGAGAGGAAGGUCCCCCACAUUGGAACUGAGACACGGUCCAAACUCCUACGGGAGGCAGCAUG
rnacentral:rRNA from 1 species